CCUACGGGCGGGCUGCAGUAGGGAUUUUUCGGCAAUGGGGGGAACCCUGACCGAGCAACGCCGCGUGAACGAAGAAGUUAUUCGUAAUGUAAAGUUCUUUUAACAGGGAAGAAAGAGAAAUUUGACGGUACCUGAAGAAUAAGCUCCGGCUAACUACGUGCCAGCAGCCGCGGUAAUACGUAGGGAGCGAGCGUUAUCCGGAAUUAUUGGGCGUAAGGGGUGCGUAGAUGGCAUAGUAAGUCUUUUGAAAAAAAGCUGGGCUCAACCCAGUAGGGCAAAAGAUACUGCAAAGCUAGAGUAUGACAGAGGCAAGUGGAACUACAUGUGUAGCGGUAAAAUGCGUAAAUAUAUGUAAGAACACCAGUGGCGAAGGCGGCUUGCUGGGUCGAUACUGACAUUGAGCACGAAAGCGUGGGGAGCAAACAGGAUUAGAUACCCGAGUAGUC
rnacentral:rRNA from 1 species